rnacentral:misc_RNA from 1 species
UUUCCGUAGGUGAACCUGCGGAAGGAUCAUUAUUGUAUAACCGAGGUGCGAGGGAUGUCGCUGACCCGAAAGGUCGUGCACGCCCGAGUGCCCUCACACACAUCCAUCUCACCCCUAUGUGCACCACCGCGUGGGUCCCCCUUUGGCUUGUUCGGAGGGGGGCUUACGUUUUCACACAAACUUUGUAUGCAGUGUAGAAUGUAUUUUUUGUUUUUGCGAUCACGCAAUCAAUACAACUUUCAACAACGGAUCUCUUGGCUCUC